GUUUGUAGCUCAGUUGGAUAGAGCAGUGCCCUUCUAAGGCAAAGGUCGGGAGUUCGAAUCUCUUCAAGCC
rnacentral:tRNA from 1 species